AGGUUGACUGCGCAUGACUCUGUUAAUAUAUCUGUGCUACAUUCUAGCACUGGAGGAAAAUCCAGCUCAGGAGGGAAGUCCCAUGGUACAAGUGAUCAUAAGGGAGGAUUCAGUGCAAGCAGUGGGAGGGGCUUUAGCCACCUCUCCAAAAGCAAACAUAGCUCUGGCCACGGACACCACUGCUAAAGUAGAAGCUAGCCACGCCUCUACAUAUAUUAGUGCAAAAGUGAAAGUAUAGAUUGUAGUGAAAUCACUGGCACUAUAUAUUAUCAAUCUGCUAUAUUGAUCUGUUUGGUAUUCACUAUCCAUAGAUCAUUCUCAUUUGCAAACUCAAAAUAUUUCUAUUCCCCAUCUUCUCUUAGGAUAAUCCUCACUCAUAUGUUGUAAAUAUAAGCUUUACUACCUACCUGUACUGUUUCUCUUCAAUAAAAUUGUAUUCAUUCAACAA